rnacentral:rRNA from 1 species
GUGCCAGCAGCCGCGGUAAUACGCAGGUGGCAAGCGUUAUCCGGAAUUAUUGGGCGUAAAGCGCGCGUAGGCGGUUUUUUAAGUCUGAUGUGAAAGCCCACGGCUCAACCGUGGAGGGUCAUUGGAAACUGGAAAACUUGAGUGCAGAAGAGGAAAGUGGAAUUCCAUGUGUAGCGGUGAAAUGCGCAGAGAUAUGGAGGAACACCAGUGGCGAAGGCGACUUUCNUGGUCUGUAACUGACGCUGAUGUGCGAAAGCGUGGGGAUCAAACAGGAU